CCUACGGGAGGCAGCAGUGGGGAAUAUUGGGCAAUGGGCGCAAGCCUGACCCAGCAACGCCGCGUGAAGGAAGAAGGCUCUCGGGUUGUAAACCUCUUUUCUCAGGGACGAAGAAAGUGACGGUACCUGAGGAAUAAGCCACGUCUAACUACGUGCCAGCAGCCGCGGUAAUACGUAGGUGGCAAGCGUUAUCCGGAUUUAUUGGGUGUAAAGGGCGUGUAGGCGGGAGCGCAAGUCAGAUGUGAAUACUCAGGGCUCAACCCUGAGCCUGCAAUUGAAACUGUGUGUCUUGAGUGCUGGAGAGGCAAUCGGAAUUCCGUGUGUAGCGGUGAAAUGCGUAGAUAUAAGGAGGAACACC
rnacentral:rRNA from 1 species